GAUGAAGAACGUAGCAAAAUGCGAUAAGUAAUGUGAAUUGCAGAAUUCAGUGAAUCAUCGAAUCUUUGAACGCACAUUGCGCCGGCUGGUAGUCCGGCGGGCAUGCCUGUUCGAGCGUCAUUUCAACCCUCAAGCCCCCGGGUUUGGUGUUGGGGAUCGGCUCUGCCCUUCUGGGCGGUGCCGCCCCCGAAAUACAUUGGCGGUCUCGCUGCAGCCUCCAUUGCGUAGUAGCUAACACCUCGCAACUGGAACGCGGCGCGGCCAUGCCGUAAAACCCCAACUUCUGAAUGUUGACCUCGGAUCAGGUAGGAAUACCCGCUGAACUUAAGCAUAUCAAUAAGCGGAGGA
rnacentral:misc_RNA from 1 species